rnacentral:rRNA from 1 species
CAGCAACGCCGCGUGAGGGAUGACGGCCUUCGGGUUGUAAACCUCUUUUAGCAGGGAAGAAGCGAAAGUGACGGUACCUGCAGAAAAAGCGCCGGCUAACUACGUGCCAGCAGCCGCGGUAAUACGUAGGGCGCAAGCGUUAUCCGGAAUUAUUGGGCGUAAAGAGCUCGUAGGCGGUUUGUCGCGUCUGCUGUGAAAUCCCGAGGCUCAACCUCGGGCCUGCAGUGGGUACGGGCAGACUAGAGUGCGGUAGGGGAGAUUGGAAUUCCUGGUGUAGCGGUGGAAUGCGCAGAUAUCAGGAGGAACACCGAUGGCGAAGGCAGAUCUCUGGGCCGUAACUGACGCUGAGGAGCGAAAGGGUGGGGAGCAAACAGGCUUAGAUACCCUGGUAGUCCACCCCGUAAACGUUGGGAACUAGUUGUGGGGACCAUUCCACGGUUUCCGUGACGCAGCUAACGCAUUAAGUUCCCCGCCUGGGGAGUACGGCCGCAAGGCUAAAACUCAAAGGAAUUGACGGGGACCCGCACAAGCGGCGGAGCAUGCGGAUUAAUUCGAUGCAACGCGAAGAACCUUACCAAGGCUUGACAUAUACGAGAACGGGCCAGAAAUGGUCAACUCUUUGGA